rnacentral:lncRNA from 1 species
GGACACAUCUCCUUGUUGUAAAUCAAUAAGCAAAUGCAAUACAGGGAAAGACAUACGGAUUGGAGAGUUGUACGGAGCUUUGCACAAGCAGAGCCCAGAAGCUGUUCGUUCAUUUCACGCGACCAGAAAAAAUUCCUGAUGGUGCUAUGACCCCGGUGCCCGGUUGGCACUUCCUGGUUUUCUGUUUCUGCUAUUCUGUUACCUGCUUGGUUAGCUUUGCAGGCUCCUCAGAGAACACAGAAACAGCUGAAACCAGGGUCCGAGCUCAGGAAACCUGGACUACAGCGCAGCAGGGUAAACCUGACAAAUAAACGCGACGGGGAACUCCGUCCCAAGCUGCUGAUCUAUGGAAUGAAGCAACACCUCAUCAAGAGAAGCAACCUGGGCAAACCAGGCCUGGUUUAACUGCACUUUCUCACGUUUGAUCAUUUUCUCAAGAGAUACGUGCGUGGUCCUCUGCAAUUCAGAAUGAAAUCUGAACUUCUGGAAAAACUCUCCUAGAGGGGGUUUGAGGACAAGAGGUAAGACCCAGGUCAGUCAGAUGCAAGGUGCCGCUCCCUACAGCAAAGUCAGCAUGUAGGCCCCCUGCAUUUCCAAUUGCCACAAAGAAGUUGCUUGGUACUUUGGAAGACUGAGGUGGGAGAAUCCCUUGAGCCCUGGAGUUUGAGACCAGCCUGGGCAAUACAGUGAGACCGCCUCUCAACAAAAAAUUUAAAAAUUAGCUGAGCAUGAUGGUGUGUGUCUGCAGUCCCAGCUGCUUGGGAGGCUGUGGCAGGAGGAGAUCGCUUGAGCCUGGGAGGUCCAGGCUGCAGUGGGCCAUGAUUGAACCACUGCACUCCAGCCUGGGUGACAGAGCAAGACCCUAUCUCAAAACAGAACAACAACAAUAACAAAAAAAGAAAUUGCAUGAAUGGCUUGACCAGGUGAUUUUUCCCUAGUCCCCCUUACUCUAUGAGCAUACAACAGGAUUCUUGAAUACAUUAGGGAACUUCUGGCCACAUUUGCCCUCUCUCACUUUAUCAGGAAACUGCUCAUCCCUACAAGAGUAAUAGCUGGAUUACAAAAAAUUCCGGGGUUAUUUAUGUUUUAAAAAGAGGUUGGGGGAGACAGGAAUAGAUAGAGCACGCUGCUAUAAAUAAAAAUCAUGUGCUUUUUCCCCAUCAGAAUUAAAUUGCAGUAAAUUUGGACUCCUUAAGCUUCCUCUACUUAGCCAAAGGAAAAAGAAAUAGAACAGGUACAGAAAGGUUGUUUAUGGUUGUUUCAGUUGUUACUGGUUACUGUAAAUAAUCUUUUUGCUUGCAAUCUGGGAACAUGUUGGCAAACCCCCUGCAGGUGACAAAAUGUUUUAUUGGGUAGAACUGGUGUGUUCUGGAAGGAGCCGAGAGAACUUUACAUGCAAAUUAUGCCCAUGCCUUGCCCCUAGCAGGUGCAAUUACUGCCAUGCCCACAUCCAUCACAGGCAUGGCUCUUCUUUUAAUAUUUUCAACUUGAUGUCUCCUAAUACAUUUUUCUUCUAAUACAUACAUAUAUACCUUGUCUAAUGGGAAGGGAAAGAGCAUUUUCAUCAAGGAGGGGGAGCUGGCCACAGGCAGCAAAAUGACAGGGAGAAAGACAGGAAAGAAGCUCCUUUAAAUUAGAAAGAAAUCUAAACCCUAACCCCUUCCAGCCCUCUCCAAAUAAUUAGUCAUUUCUAAACUCAGAUUACAUUGCCUGUGCUAGUAAAAGCUGAUUAGUGCUGGAAAGGGAUUUAAUGGAAUUUUGAGUCUUAUGGUUGCAGUGGGGGGGUUGGUGGGGGCUGGCAGAUCCUAAAAAUUGUAGAAAUAAUGAUGAACAUUUAAUAUAAGCCACAGUCUCAUAGACAGGUAAAAGGUGUAUAAAUAUAUGUAUAUAGAGAGACGUGAAUCAUUUUAUACCCUCCCUUUGCCCAAAAUGUAAAGCAUAAUGUGAGUCAACUGAAAGCCUGGUAUUUACCAAAAGUUGAUACACAAGGGCAGUUUUCAAUACAAUUUCCAUCCAAUUUCUGGGCCGGAAGCCCAGGAAAUUAAAAAAAAAUUAAAGGCACAUGUGGGUCUUCUCAGUGUGAAUGCCGGAUGGAAUUUUUAUUGAAUUUGGCCUCAACUGAUUGUAGCAUUAUAAGCAAUUCUGCAGUUAAGUUUCAGCAGCCAUUUAGAUGGCAAAUCCCUUUUUUAGGGUAUUAUAACUAAUAAUAAUAACUUCCUUUUUAUAUGGCACCUUUUAUAUCAAGCACUUUAAAGUGUGAGAUCAUCUUCCCAUUAUUAAGAUACCCCAUCUGUGUUGGAAUAUAGAAGCUAUUUCAUGCCAGUGACACCACAUAACAGUUAUUUGUUUGCAUGUUUAUUGUGUAGCAAAGGGAAAUGAAGAAAAAUAUCUACUAAACCCAAAGACUGAAAUUCUUAGGUAAAAGUAUAAAUUGGAAUAUAGCCAAGCUACUAAGUUAAACACAUCUUUUUCUAUAAAAGGGGUUAGGGAGUCUUAAUUUCCACAUAUGGAAAUAGAAGUCUUAUUGUUAUCACCAUGGUACUGAUCCAAAGUUCUAGUUUAUAUCUAGAUGCUGUGAUUAAAUUGUAGGGUGUAUGAUACUGUUAUAUUAUCUCCAUUGCUGGGGUGGAUGGCUCUGAGAGGUUUUUUGAGUCAGACUAAAGAGUAAUAAUAAGUUUUCAGCAUCCAAAUUGGAGUAAGGCAAUAAGGUUGUUACAGUAAGUGCAUAAUAGUGUCAAAAAUUCUUUAUAUGCAUUCAUAUAAAAUUGCUUAGCACUAUGACUGGAACUUAGCUCCACAUACUAAUCACAUAAUAACUAAUUCAGGUAUCGACUCAUUUCUUUUCUUCUCCAAAGACGUUUUCUGAAUUUCCUGUCUAUAAUAGCACUGCUGUCAUUCUCUUUACUUCAUAGAGCAAAUGGUUAUGUGACAAUUCUUUACAUGCCUUUUUUUAAUUAUUGCUGAUUUCCUUCACUACAAUGUAAGCUUCAUGAAGGUAGGGGCUUUGUUUUCUGUACUGUUGCAUUCAGAGCUCCCAGCACGAAUCUGACAUGUACAUAAUGGGUGUGCAGUAAAUGUAUAUUUCAUGAUUGAGGAACUUCCAAUAUGCCAGGCACUGUAUUAUUUGCUUAUUCUCGGCACUUUGCAAUCUUUACAACAACUUCAUGAAGAAACUACUGUUUUAUCACCUUUCUACAG